GGAAACAUCAACAGGGGACAGAAAGACUUCUAUUCACCAAAACAAUACAGGAGUGCCAGCAUCCACUGAUGGAGGAGGAGGAUGAAGAAGAUGGAGGACAUUAGCACCAGUAUCCACAGCUGCCUGAGGAGGAAACAUCAACAGAAAGCAAAACAAUCAAAACAAUUAAUGAGGAGGAUGAAGAUGGAGGACAGGAGCACCAGUAUCCACAGCAUCCUGAGGAAACAUCAACAGAGGACAGAGACUUCUAUUCACCAAAACAAUACAGGAGCACCAGCAUCCACAGCAUCCUGAGGAGGAAACAUUACCAGAGGACAGAAAGACUUCUAUUCACCAAAACAAUCAAUAGUUUUGCUUCAGAGGAGAAUCCGACAGUUCCAGAUGUUCGUCACCAGCACUGCAGUGUUUACACAGACUGCUUUGGUUUCAACUUUCUACAAAAAACUGUUGAAUUUUCAACUCACUUUCCAUCUGAAUCCAAGCUCAUCUUCAUCACUGGGAUGUUUCUUCAUCAGUUCUUCGUACAGACUGACACAGCUCACACAUGGAGAAGAUGAUUUAUGGAAUAUGACAUUUAGAUUUUUCCUUUUCUCAACAGUAUGAUGCAUACAUCCCAACCCAAAUUUCAUGCAUUUUUUUGGCUUAACUUGAGCCAAUUUCCAUCAAUAAAUUGCUAAUGUAUUAUUAUUGACUAUUACUA
ensembl:lncRNA